rnacentral:rRNA from 1 species
AUUGAACGCUGGCGGCAGGCCUAACACAUGCAAGUCGAACGGUAACAGGAAGCAGCUUGCUGCUUUGCUGACGAGUGGCAGACGGGUGAGUAAUGUCUGGGAAACUGCCUGAUGGAGGGGGAUAACUACUGGAAACGGUAGCUAAUACCGCAUAACGUCGCAAGACCAAAGAGGGGGACCUUAGGGCCUCUUGCCAUCGGAUGUGCCCAGAUGGGAUUAGCUAGUAGGUGGGGUAACGGCUCACCUAGGCGACGAUCCCUAGCUGGUCUGAGAGGAUGACCAGCCACACUGGAACUGAGACACGGUCCAGACUCCUACGGGAGGCAGCAGUGGGGAAUAUUGCACAAUGGGCGCAAGCCUGAUGCAGCCAUGCCGCGUGUAUGAAGAAGGCCUUCGGGUUGUAAAGUACUUUCAGCGGGGAGGAAGGGAGUAAAGUUAAUACCUUUGCUCAUUGACGUUACCCGCAGAAGAAGCACCGGCUAACUCCGUG